AGGGUGCGAGCGUUGUCCGGAAUUAUUGGGCGUAAAGAGCUCGUAGGCGGCGUGUCGCGUCUGCUGUGAAAGACCGGGGCUUAACUCCGGUUCUGCAGUGGAUACGGGCAUGCUAGAGUUCGGCAGGGGAGACUGGAAUUCCUGGUGUAGCGGUGAAAUGCGCAGAUAUCAGGAGGAACACCGGUGGCGAAGGCGGGUCUCUGGGCCGAUACUGACGCUGAGGAGCGAAAGCGUGGGGAGCGAACAGGAUUAGAUACCCUGGUAGUCCACGCCGUAAACGUUGGGCGCUAGGUGUGGGGUUCUUCCACGGGCUCCGCGCCGUAGCUAACGCAUUAAGCGCCCCGCCUGGGGAGUACGGCCGCAAGGCUAAAACUCAAAGGAAUUGACGGGGGCCCGCACAAGCGGCGGAGCAUGCGGAUUAAUUCGAUGCAACGCGAAGAACCUUACCUGGGUUUGACAUCCUUCUGACCGGUCCUUAACCGGACCUUUCUUCGGACAGAAGUGACAGGUGGUGCAUGGUUGUCGUCAGCUCGUGUCGUGAGAUGUUGGGUUAAGUCCCGCAACGAGCGCAACCCUUGUUCCAUGUUGCCAGCACGUAAUGGUGGGGACUCAUGGGAGACUGCCGGGGUCAACUCGGAGGAAGGUGGGGAUGACGUCAAGUCAUCAUGCCCCUUAUGUCUUGGGCUGCAAACAUGCUACAAUGGCCGGUACAGAGGGCUGCGAUACCGUGAGGUGGAGCGAAUCCCUAAAAGCCGGUCUCAGUUCGGAUCGAAGUCUGCAACUCGACUUCGUGAAGUCGGAGUCGCUAGUAAUCGCAGAUCAGCAACGCUGCGGUGAAUACGUUCCCGGGCCUUGUACACACCGCCCGUCACGUCAUGAAAGUCGGUAACACCCGAAGCCCAUGGCCCAACCCCCGUUUGGGGGAGGGAGUGGUCGAAGGUGGGACUGGCGAUUGGGACGAAGUCGUAACAAGGUAGCCGUACCGGAAGGUGCGGCUG
rnacentral:rRNA from 1 species